AUAACUAUCCGCAUUGAUUUCAUGAUCGUCCAUUAGCGAGCUGAUAAAGACGAUUUUAUUCCAGACUGGUAGAAGAGCGCGGUGAAGGGAACUAACUGUUAAGUAAUCGGGGAAACUAUUCUUUAAGUUUUAAAAGACAAUGGAACAAUCACCAGUGAAAUUAACAUUAUGUUUUUUAGUUUUUGCAGUAGGAACAGAGGCAAUGAAUUAUUUGGCAUUUCCAAGAAUGGGCAGAUCGGGUUAUUUAGCAUUUCCUCGCAUGGGUCGAUCAAAUAAUGGUAAUUUGGAUACUACAGAUUUACACACAGACUGCUGUCCUAAAGGAAUAAAAACUCAAUGGGUAGUUA